GAAAGCCGUAUUCGAUGAAAGUUGUAUGUACGGCUUGGAGGGAGAUCUUUCCUAUCUUUCGAGAUCCACCCUAC
rfam:Oryza sativa Japonica Group DNA, chromosome 4, cultivar: Nipponbare, complete sequence.